AACGAACGCUGGCGGCACGCCUAACACAUGCAAGUCGAACGGAGAAAAUGAUUUCGGUUGUUUUCUUAGUGGCGGACGGGUGAGUAACACGUGAGGAACCUGCCUCUGAGGGUGGGAUAGCUUCUGGAAACGGAUGGUAAUACUGCAUAACAUAGUGAAAACGCAGGAUUUUGCUAUCAAAGUAUUUCGCUCAGAGAUGGCCUCGCGUCUGAUUAGAUAGUUGGUGAGGGAACGGCUCACCAAGUCGACGAUCAGUAGCCGGACUGGGCGGUUGCACGGCCACAUUGGGACUGAGACACGGCCCAGACUCCUACGGGAGGCAGCAGGGGGGGAUAGUGGACAAUGGGGGAAACCCUGAUGGAGCGAUGCCGCGUGGAGGAAGAAGGUUUUCGGAUUGUAAACUCCUGUCGUAAGGGAAGAGGAAGGACUGUACCUUACAAGAAAGCUCCGGCUAACUACGUGCCAGCAGCCGCGGUAAGAC
rnacentral:rRNA from 1 species